UUGAGUUUGAUCCUGGCUCAGAACGAACGCUGGCGGCAGGCUUAACACAUGCAAGUCGAACGCCCCGCAAGGGGAGUGGCAGACGGGUGAGUAACGCGUGGGAAUCUACCGUGCCCUGCGGAAUAGCUCCGGGAAACUGGAAUUAAUACCGCAUACGCCCUACGGGGGAAAGAUUUAUCGGGGUAUGAUGAGCCCGCGUUGGAUUAGCUAGUUGGUGGGGUAAAGGCCUACCAAGGCGACGAUCCAUAGCUGGUCUGAGAGGAUGAUCAGCCACAUUGGGACUGAGACACGGCCCAAACUCCUACGGGAGGCAGCAGUGGGGAAUAUUGGACAAUGGGCGCAAGCCUGAUCCAGCCAUGCCGCGUGAGUGAUGAAGGCCUUAGGGUUGUAAAGCUCUUUCACCGGAGAAGAUAAUGACGGUAUCCGGAGAAGAAGCCCCGGCUAACUUCGUGCCAGCAGCCGCGGUAAUACGAAGGGGGCUAGCGUUGUUCGGAAUUACUGGGCGUAAAGCGCACGUAGGCGGAUAUUUAAGUCAGGGGUGAAAUCCCAGAGCUCAACUCUGGAACUGCCUUUGAUACUGGGUAUCUUGAGUAUGGAAGAGGUAAGUGGAAUUCCGAGUGUAGAGGUGAAAUUCGUAGAUAUUCGGAGGAACACCAGUGGCGAAGGCGGCUUACUGGUCCAUUACUGACGCUGAGGUGCGAAAGCGUGGGGAGCAAACAGGAUUAGAUAC
rnacentral:rRNA from 1 species